rnacentral:lncRNA from 1 species
ACCAUCUCAACUCUGAUGGACCCAGAAGAGAUGAAAGACCAAUUUCUGAGACAGAUCCAGGAAGUCUUAAAGCUUACAUUAGGUCACGAACAAUUUAGACUGAAAUGGGUCAGCUUCGAAGUGAACAAAAAAUAGCACAAUUCUUGGAUAUGCAGUUUCUGUUUCAUGCAAUCUUCUCUGGAUUUUGAGUAAAUUUUAAUUUUUUAAUCCCUAGUAGAACAAGAUUAGGAAGAACUCGACAUGUGCCAAAAAGCACAGACCUACAACUAACACAAAACAAGACUACACAUGAAACCUGCAUCCCUGGAUUUUACAGAAUGAAACAGGGAUGCAGGAGAAGAUGGGUGUAUUUGGGAACAAUCAUGUUGGGAAUGACAAAUGAACUUCUAUUAAGAAAUUAAAAUAAAAAACCUGAACCAAACA